AGUAUGCUGCCUUUGAGAAUAAAGUGAAACGAAGCGUCUAUAUUGACAAUCUUUCACCUUUGGCUAAGGAGUCUGUUAUCAAAGCUGCACUUGAUCAGUUCGGAAAUGUAAUUCAAGUCACGUUAAUCCGAACCUACCUUGAACUAAAAGGGAUGGGACGAGCUGCUUUAGUUGAGAUGCAGAAUGCAGAUGAGGCAAGAACAAUCAUCUCUGAGAUACGAAAUUCCCCUUUCAUGAUCUCGGGCAUGCCAAGACCUGUUAGGGCACGUCCUGCAGUAGUUGAGAUGUUUGAUGAUCGCCCAAGGAAACCUGAUAGGACGAUAAUGUGCUACUGGUUGAAAUCCAAUUAUCCUGAUUUUGAAGUGGCCACGAAGAUGAAGCGUAUAGUUAGGAACCAUGCAAAAGAAGCCAAUUUUUUGCUCAAGGUGAACAUUUGCUCAUAAAAUUGAUUUCAUGGUUAUAAUACAUUGUUGUCCUAAAUAGUUCCUUCUCUUCACGUAGCGUCAAUUGGAGGAGGAAGAACAACUAGCAAAAGAGCAGUCAGAGUCCUUGAACGCAAUCUACAAUAAGUAUGAACUCGUUCAGCAUGUCUUUAACAGUGGAACUGCUACGCGAUUGGCAAAGCAUUAUAAAAUGCGUACUGAUGUUCGCCAGUAAUCAACACUCUCAUCCAUAAACUUGUAGAGAUAUAAAGAUUCAACUGUUAAACCAAAUGACAUAUUUUGCCUUUUGUUAAGUACUUCAUUUCCAGGCAGCACAAGAGCCUUUAUAUGUGCUAUCAUUCAUGUGCUCUUGAAUUGUAAUUGUUAGCCUAAAAUGUACUACUUUACAAGAUAUCUUGUGACCCUGCAGUCAAUUAACCUUUACUUUUUUGAGCUAGUAUAGUUUUUUUCUAUUAUUGUAUUGACACAAUACAUAAAAAAAUGUUAUCUCCUAUAUUCAGAUUAGCAAACUAGAAAUGAUAAAAGAUGAAAAGAAAAAAAAAACUAUUCGAGUCCACAGAAUCCAUUGUGUGUCCUUAAGAAAUUUAAUCCCCUCAAGUACCUGAGGUUGUAGAUUAAUUUCUCCCAAGAUAAAACAGAUUAACCAUUAAAGAAGUAGCGGUACCUCAAACUUCGAUAAUUUCAACGAACUCAAAAAGACAGCAACGAGAUCACACACAGACACGAUUGAUCGAUUUUGUUUUGUAAGAAAUGUAUGCAUAAGAAGGGAAGAAUUCGAUUCAGAAAAAUGAGAGAAAGUCUCUUUAUUUAUAGCCAACAAAAGGGUGAAGGUCAAAACUCUUUGGAAAAAAGACAAUCUUUCAGAAAGGUCACAGUCCUUUGGAAAAUGCAUAAUCUUUCAAACGGUCACAACCCUUUAGAAAAGACACAACCUUUCAUAAGGGUCACAACCCUUCGGCAAAGUCACAACACUUCAUUUCCUAUUCACACCUUUAAAAUCCAUCAAUCCCCCACAUGAAUAGGGAAUGACUAUUGUUAAAACAUAUGCAUGAAAAACUGUGUGAUUCGUAAGUAAGGAUUGAUUGCAUAUGGAUAAGUGGUUUCCCUUUGAACUUUCCAUAGUGAACAUAUAUCGAAUAUACUCGGUCAAUCGGUAGAUUUGAUAUCUUUGAACCGUCGAGCUUUGGUGUAUAUCCUUGAACUGUUUUUGGUUCUCAUUGUUUUGUUCGUUUCAUCCAUGAACACGUCUUGGUUUAUAAGUGCGUAGAGAAUUAGCCUUACCGGAUUCUCCUUGAAGCGGCUUACACUUCACACUUACAUAUGUGAUUUCUAAAUGUAUUAUUCUGUAGAGAUACACCAUUUGAUAUACCCUGUAUCAAACUUAGAAACCAUUAAAAAGUCCUAAUGCCUUUAUCUUUGUUACUGAACAUUAUCUUAUCAUGAGAAUGGAUCAUAAAAAAUAUUUUGACAAUGUUGAACCAUCAUUAGUGACUUUGUUUGAUCUCCUUGAACCUAAAUCUUGAGAUCUCCAGUCUUCUAAGUAGAGUUACCACCACAAUCACUUGUCCUCAGCCAUAGUCCAAUUCUCUUUGAUAAUCUAUCAACUCCCUCUCUAGUCAGGUCUUUUGUAAGUGGAUCAGACACAUUAUCCUUUGACCUUACAUAGUCAAUUAUGAUAAUUCCACUAGAGAGUAGUUCUCUAACGAUAUUAUGUCUACGUCAUAUAUGACGAGACUUUCCGUUAUACAUCAUGCUCAUGCCCUACCUAUUGCUACUUAACUCUCAUUGUGUAUGCAUACUAGUGCUAAAGGUUUGGGCCAAGAAAGAAUAUCUUUCAAGAAAUUUCGAAGUCAUGCAACUUCUUCACCAGCCUUAUUUAGAGUGAUAAACUCAAAUUUCAUAGUAGAGCGAGCGAUACAUUUCUGUUUGAAAGAUUUCUAAGAGAUUGCUCCUCCACCAAGAGUAAGUACAUAUCCACUCAUGAAUUUUACUUCAUUUGACCUAGUGAUUCAAUUUGCAUCACUAUAUUCUUCUAAUGUUGUUGAAAAUUAGUUAUAAUGCAAAGCAUAGCUUUUUAAAAUAUGUUUUAAAUACUCUAAAACUUUUUUCAUUGUCAUCCAAUAAGUUUGAUUGAGAUUACUCGUGAACCGACUCAGUUUACUAAUAGCAUUUGCUAUAUCUGAUCGCUUUCACUUUAUGAUAUACAUCAUACUUCUCAAUACUCUAGCAUAAUUCAGGUGUGUGUCACUUUCUCCUUUAUUAUUUUGAAGUACAAAACUCACAUUUAUUGGAGUCUUGACAAUAUUGAAAUCCAAAUACUUAACCUUGUCAAGUACCUUUUCAAUCACAUUAGCAACUUCAAUGUCUUUCAUAUCGAAGUUACUUUCUAGCAUAUGCUUAGUAGCAUUUGUGUCAGAAAUGUCUCUUUUGAUGAUCAACAUGUCAUCAACAUAAAACUAAACAAUGACCUUGUGAUAUUGAGUGUCUUUAAUGUAAAAACAUUUAUCACAUUCAUUAAUCUUGAAUUCAUUUGCCAACAUAGUUUGGUCAAACUUCGCAUGUCAUUAUUUGACCACUUGUUUUUAGUCCAUGAAGUGACUUAACAAGUUAACACACUUUCUUUUCUAUACUAGGAACCACAAAGCCCUUGGGUUUUUCCAUGUAAAUUCCUUCCUCCAAUUCUCCAUUUAAGAAAGUUAUUUCAUAUUCAUUUGAUGAAUUUGAAGGCCAUAUACCACAACUACCGUAAUUAACAUCUGAAUUGAUGUAAUCCUAGUUAGUGGUUAUUAUGUGUCAAAAUAAUCAAUGCUCUUUAUUGUCUAAAGCCUAUGACAACAAGUCUUUCUUUGUAUUUUUAAUAGUUCCAUCAACUUUCUUUUCAUUUUGUAGAUCCACUUUGAACCUAAAGGUUUAUUUCCUGGAGGAAGAUUAACCAACUCUCAAGUAUGGUUGCUCAAGAUUGAAUCUAUCAUAUUUGUAACACCCCGUAUCCUAGACAAACCAGAAUGCAGAUUUCAGAAAUUGCAGGUGCCAUCGACGGGCACCACUCACGGACCGUAGGUGGGUUCCGUGAAUGGCCACCUGCAGCUCCCUUCCCAGAACCCCAGAAAUUUUCAGCCAAGUCUUGACCCACGCCAAGACCUACGAACCGUAGGAGGGACUACGGUUCGUGGUUUAGACUCCCCAGAUUCCAGUCUCUGAAGCCAACUAACGGUUGACCAGGACGAACCGUGGGUCAGUCCACGGACCGUCGGUGGUCCCCAUAGCUUUUAAGUCAGGGGUCGUUUGGUCUUUUCCCAAUGCGUUGGACCCCUAAACUACGUCGUUUAACCCCUAAACUACGUAGUUUUGGCCAGUUUUAGCCUAGCAACUAAAUUAGAACCUACCCUAGUAAAUUCAUUCUCCAAAAUUCAUCCAAUUAGAACGAAAAGAGGAGAAAGUAGUCGAGCAACCCUAGUCCAAGAACGCAACAAGUUUUCAUCAGUUUCAGCCCCGAAAUUGAAAGAUUUCUCAGUGGAAUUUGUCACCAGGUAUGUGAGAUUUCACUAAGGGUUCCUUUCACCCAUUAGGUCUCUAGAAUUCAGUCAGAUUCUUCAUUCCCUUAUCAAGUUUAGACCUAGGGUUUCUAGAACUUCAGAAUAUUAUUGUGAUUCAGCUGUUAGACUAAUCCAAAUCGGAUUAUCAUGUUUUCGUGAAAUUAUUGCUUAGUUCUUGCAUGAAACUCAGAACCUUAGUUGUGUAGAUUCUUUUAGUUCAUUAAUUACACUUGCUAGGUCAAUUUAUUCAGAUAGACAUGCCCCAGUUAAGAAUGUUUCAUUAUCAAUACAUUAAUGUUGCAAUUUCAGUUAGCAUGUCAGUAUCGUGAGCUAUUCAGUAUUACAGAUAUUCAGUCAUAAUGUGUUAAUUACAUAAUAAGUUGGGAGUAGGCUUCAUACCGAGUGGACUAAGGGUCAGUCACCCUCAUAGUCCCAGAACUACGUGCCCCGUAGGUAAGUCCCCUAUGUGGGCAUUAUACUUAGUGAUCACGCCAGUCAUGCCUCUAUACCAUUGGCAAGGUAUAUUAUGUCCUCUCGAUGGGGUGUAUACAUCGGACUCCACAUUUAGCUCAUGUGGUUUUAUGUCGGUUAUUAGUAGCUCCCACAGUCAGAUUCUAAAAUAUUGACCAAGUUAUCAGUUACAAUUCAGUAUUCAGUAUGUUAUAAACUUGAUCACUACAUUCAAUUAGUUCAUAUUCAACAUGUUUAGCAUAUUCUUCCUGUUCAUCUUAUAUCAUUGAUCAAUAUGCUCUAUUUCAGUUAAGUAUAUAUUGUUCAGCUUUAUCCUAUCCUGCAUGCUCAGUACUUUUCAAGUACUGACGCAUACUCUGCGCUACAUCUUCUCAUGAUGUAGGUUUAGGUCCUCAGCAUUCAGAUCACACAUAGAUUGGUUUUCGAUCUCUAGUUCAGCAGUAUCAGUGGUGAGUCCUCAUUCUUCGAGGACGAUUGACAUGUUAUAUUUCCAUUUUCAGUCGUUAGUUUCAGUUUUACUAGAAGUUUGCUGGGGGCAUGUCCCAACAGCUCUAGUCAGUUAGAGGCUUUAUUUCAGACAUAGUUAGAUUCAGUUUAAGUUGAGCUUGAUCUUUCAAUUGUCAUUAAACUCAGUUAUAUAUAUUCAGAUUUAGAAUGGGUAUUCCACAUCAUUUGCCCUUUAUGUUAUGUUUUAAUCUUCCGCACAGAACUGUCUAUUUUUCAGUAAAUCUUUAAGUAUGCUUAUGAUAUGCUAGCUCAAGGUUAGCUUGGGGUCACUCGUGACCUAGGUCCCGUGUCCGCGUCCUGGGGGUAGCCUCGGGGAGUGACAAUAUUAUUGACAGUUUCUUUCCAAAAAAGGAUGAGUCCACAGACGACAUUGCUCUUCGAAUAUAUGGACUCAUUUCCAAGAAGAAAUGUUACAAAAUCAAAUCCAAAGGAAGUAAAUGUCCUUUGACAUUUACUAUGCCUCUGAAUCUCUUUAUUAAGUACAUUCUCAUUUAGUUCAUUCCAAGGUUGUUUUGACCCUUUACUUGACUAUCCGACGGUUCGAACUUAUGAACCAUAAAUCAACAUGCUUUACUAUUUGUAGCAUAUCCAAUGAACAUAAAAUCCACAAUCUUAGGUCUUAUUUUUGACCCCUUUGGAAAUAGGAACUUGGAUUUUUUCUGGACACCCCCACACUAUGAAAUAUUUUAAGUUGGAUUUUCCUCAUUUCUAUUUCUCAUAUGAAAUUGAUUGUAUUGGAAAUUGUUAGAUCACUAUCUUUCAAGAGUUAUUGUUUGUAUAUACUUUAAGAGGCGACAAGAAAUUCUCUAUCAGGAUACAACAAACCAAAACUUUUUGUUGCUCCCUUAACAAACAAAAGUUUUUUGUUGCUCCCUUUCUUAACAAACAAAACUUUUUGUUUCUCUCUUUCUGAAUAGACAAACUUUUUGUUGUUCUCUUUUGCUAUAAUGAUAGCAUCCCCUACAAAUUUUGUGGUAAAUUUGAACUUAUAAGUAGGACAUUCAACAUUUUUUUCAAAGUUCGAUCUUUUUCAUGUCUGCAAUUUCAUUAGAGUGAGGUGAGUAUGUGCAGUAAUUUGAUGGAUGAUUCCAUUUUCCAAAUAUAUUAAUGCAAAAGAAGAUUCAUAUUAUCCACAUCUACGACUUCUAAUCAUGACAAUCUUUUUAUACAACUGAUUUUUCAAUAGUUUUAUAUUGCUUAGAUGUUUCUAUUGCUUCAUCUUUACCAUUCAGCAAAUAGAUAUAACAUUAUCUAGUGCAAUUGUCAAUAAAAGUUAUGAAACAGUUUUCCCACCACGAGAUGGUGUUGACUUCACAUCACAAAUGUCAGUGUGAAUCAAUUUUAAGGGAUUAAAAUUUCUUUCAACAAAUUUAUAAGAAUACUUAGCAUACUUAGAUUCAACACAAACUUGACAUUUUUAUUUAUUGCACUCAAAGUUAGGCAAAACUUCUAAGUUGAUCAGUUUGACUCAAGCAAGUAAGAACAAACAGAAAUACUGAGUUUGAAGAGACCUUCUGUGAGGUAACUUUUUCCCACAAAUAUUUUGUUCUAUACUUUUCAUAACUUUGUCAAAUACAGGCACUGUUUUAGAGUCAACACCUUGUCAGAUGUCCUUUUCAAAAGGACAACAUUCAAUUUGAUUGUUAUAGAAUUAUCCAUGACCAUAGUCUCAACGGUCUAAUAAGGCAAUAUGACCCAAAUGUUUAUUUUACAACACAAACAUGACAAAUCACUUUUCACCAAUUUUCAUGUCUAUACACAUAAAUUUACUUUAAUAGACAUAUCUUUUAAUGAAAACAAUAUUUUAAGUGACACAUUUUCAUCAAAGAACACAAUUCUUUUGAACGAGUAAUAUAAUUUUGUGCUUUUAUACUAGUCAUAUCAUAUACUAGUAAAGAGAGACUCAACGACCACAAUAUCAAAUAUACUCCAAUAUUUUGUGGGUCUAACAUAAUACAAGAAUGUCAUUAAAUUUCAUAUCUUGUGAUAAAUAAGUAAAGAACCCCCCACAUUUUAAAUAUGUUCUCAAAAAUAUUUUUCAAGUAUUUGAAAUUAUUUUCCACAUAUUUUUUCUCAUACUUUCAAAUUGUAUACCAUCAAAAUACACAUUGGCAACACGAAGCCUUCUUUUGGAGAUUUAAUCCAUAGAAACACCUAUUGCAGGCACAAAAAUCACUAAUUUUAUGUCACUAGUGUUUUAUUUUCUUUCUGUCACAAUUAGACAGACCACUUAGUAUUUAAAAUACUAACAAUAAAGAUUCAAUCUUUAUACAACUUGUUUCUAGUUUAACAAUGAAUUUUUUUAUUCUUCUAAUCGUUAACCGAAUGAACCUUGAAUUCUGAUGAAGUUUAUAUAUUCUUCGAAUCAGUUUCACAUUCAGACACAGUGGUAAACCAAAAAGGUUUUAAUCUCCAGAAACCUCAAAUACAAUACCGUUUCUAGCUAACGGAGAUGAUUUUAUAUUUUUCAAAUCAUUUAGCCUUAAUAUUCCUGACGAAGAUUUUGUACUCUUCAAGUCAGAAUAUUCAUUCAAACAGAGUAUUUAACAAAUUGGUGAAGUUUCUAUAUUCUUCAAACCAAAGGAGUAAAAAAUCAGAUGAUUUUAGUCUCCAAAAGUCAGACACAAUUAAAUUUCACAUUGAGUAGAAAACUACAAAAAAAAUUCCUCCUCUAAACAUAAUACAUAUUAAUAAUAAUAAAGAUAUAUAUUCUGAGAUCAUCACAUAAUGACCAUCUAUCAUAACAUUUGUGAAAUAAAUCUCAUAACUUAUAAAGGAUAGAAAAAAUAAAAUCAAGGGAAAUAAAGAUAGAACCUAAUUUUUACUCCCAUUGAAUCAUAUUCUAUCUGUCAGCAAUGAUUUCAUGCAAGUCACUUUUCUUGCUAUUUUUUUCUUUCUUUCCCAGUUUCUAUCACAUUCCAAUUUUCCUUAGAAGACAUUGAAUUUCAACGAGAAACUAAACUCAUGUUCAAAUAUUGUUAGGAGACAACAUUUGUUCAUUUACUUCUUCUCAUAGUUAUAUAAACGAAGAGUAUAUGAGAAAUAAUUAAAGUGCACAUCUUAGCCUUUAUGCACAAAAUAGUUUUUCUCAUUGAAAAGAAAAUUGAAGGGGUGCAAUGCUUGAAUGCACUUGAGAAGAAAAUAAAAAUAAUCUUACUCAUCCAAGGAAAACUUACUACAGAAUACUAGCCAUCUCAAAUCUCUUUUAUCAUAUGAUAAAAUAAUUCUCUUUUUCUUCUUCUCCCCCCCCCCCUCCCCCCAACAAAAAGAAUAUAGAAAAUAAAAGUAAUUUCCUUACCACAGAAAAUACCAACAAUAAUAAAUUUCUUAAGCUUGUUAUCUCCUGUAUUCAGAUUAGUAAAUCAGAAAUAAUAAAAGAUGAAAAGAAAAAAAAAAGAACUAUCUAAGUCCACAGAACCCACUGUGUGUCCUUAAUAAAUUUAAUCCCCUCAAGUACCCGAGGUUGUAGAUUAAUUCCUCCCAAGAUAAAACGUAUUAACCAUUAAAGAAGUAGUAGUAUCUCAAACUUUGAUAAUUUCAACGAACUCAAAAAGAUAUCAACGAGAUCAUACACACAGACACGAUCGAUUGAUUUUAUUUUGGAAUAAAUGUAUGCAGAAGAAGGGAAGAAUUCAAUUCAAAAAAAUGAGAUAAAGUCUCUCUAUUUAUAGCCAACAAAGGGUAAAGGUCACAACUCUUUGGAAUAAAGACAACCUUUCAUAAAGGUCACAACCCUUUGGAAAAGGCACAACCUUUCGAAUGCUCACACCCUUUUAGAAAAGACACAACCUUUCAUAAAGGUCACAACCCUUUGGCAAAGUCACAACCCUUCAUUUCCUAUUCACACCUUUAAAACCCAACAAAAAAUCCCUUUAACUUGAUCUCAACUGACAUAAAUUCCCUUUGACUUUGAGUGUGCACAAACAGACACUUAAACUUGUAUAUAAUUGAACAAGUAGACACACACGUUCUACGUGACAUCCUACAUGACAAUUCGUGGUCCUACAUGUAUUAUGUCAUGUAGGACAUGCACAUCUAUUGUUCAAUUUUAUACAAGUUUAAGUGUUUAUUUGUGCAUAUUCAAAGUUAAAAGGGUACAUAUAUCGGUUGAGUCCAAGUUAAAAGAUAUGUUUAUGUUUUAUGCCUAUUGUUUUUUUAUGGAAGAAGUUUACUGUAAGCAAUGCAAAAUUUGAUGUGUCACAACAACUUAAACUUGAUCAUUGGUUUGAGCACAAUGUGCAUCUACUUUAUAUCAAAACCAACCUUGGAAAUCAAGAUUUAAAUAUCAACAAAGACAAAAAUACUAGAUAAUUUCUUUCUCAUACCUAAGCACAAUAUACAAAAACCUUUUGUUAAAAAUAAAAUAUUUAUAACAUCAGUAAAAUAUAGUAAUAUCAUUUAAGUGCACAUAGUUUUUACAAUCAGAAUAAAUAGUUAUUAAAAUGAUUAUUAAUGAAGUCAGCAAUAUGGCAGAAAAUUCAUGUACUCUAAGGGGUCGUUUGGUGUGAGGGAUAAUACCAUAUAGUCCCGGGAUUAAAUUAUAGUACCGCUUAUUUUGUUGUUUGGUUGGCAAGUUCGGGAUAACUUAUCCCGGGAUUAAUAAUUAGUACCGGGAUAAGUUAUCCCUCUAUUUGGGUGGUAUAGUAAUCCCGGGAUAACUUAUCCCGGGAUAAAAUAGGUAAAUGACAAAAAUGUCUCUUUCAACCCUUUUGUUAUAUCACUUUUUACAUUAAUGAAGGGCAUUUUUGUAAACAAAUAAAUUGUUCUUAAAAUUUAUUAUUUUGAAUACAACAAACCAAACACUCAAUAAAAAAUAAUCCCAACACAACUUAUCCCAUCAUAACUAAUCCCAACAUAACUUAUCCCAACAUAACUUAUCCCAUCAUAACUCAUUUUCAAACCANNNNNNNNNNNNNNNNNNNNNNNNNNNNNNNNNNNNNNNNNNNNNNNNNNNNNNNNNNNNNNNNNNNNNNNNNNNNNNNNNNNNNNNNNNNNNNNNNNNNNNNNNNNNNNNNNNNNNNNNNNNNNNNNNNNNNNNNNNNNNNNNNNNNNNNNNNNNNNNNNNNNNNNNNNNNNNNNNNNNNNNNNNNNNNNNNNNNNNNNNNNNNNNNNNNNNNNNNNNNNNNNNNNNNNNNNNNNNNNNNNNNNNNNNNNNNNNNNUCCACGUGGACAUCAUAAAUAUUGCAUCAUUAUAAAUAGUAAUGUGUCCAUGUGGACACAUAUUUACCUUUAAAAUACACUAUUAAAUAGUGCAUGGGGGUAAAGGUCCUCCAUAAAGUUCGGUAUCGUAACAACAAUUUCGGCCAAAGUUGGAGUAUUUUUCAAACCUUUUUCCUUACAAUAUAUGAUACAAAUUUAGUAUCAGUUAAGAGAAAAUUAUUAGCCUUCAUGGAUGGGGGGUAUGGGCUGUAAUAUUUUUUUGGCUUAAGUCAUCUGCGGCCCCUUAAAGUUGUCCGCAUAAUUCACUUAAAUACCUUAUGUAGGACUUGUACCUAUUGAACACCUCUACCCUCUCAGAUUUGAACCAUUUGAGCAUUUUUUUGAGAAUAAGCUAAAAGUAGAAAAUGUGUGAAAUACACUCACGAUGACAUGUCAAUUAGACUAAUAAAAUAAUGACAUGUGUUAUUUUUGAGUCCAAAAAAUUAUUUAAAAAUUAUAUUAUAAAGUAAAGAAAAAAAAUUAUUUUUAAGUAAAAAGAAAUGAAAAAAAGUUGCCCACCCCACUUCCCCUGCUAUCCAUGGCAGUCUAAAACUAGUCUUUCCCUCUUUAGUGUCAUCUUCUUCACCACAACAUUCCCUCUCCCUCAGCCUAUUUUUCAAUUAUAACUUUCUUCUUUGUCCUGAUUUAGGUAGAGAAAGAUGAAAAAACACUCGUUGGGAAAUGAUUGAUCUGAUUGUCAUUGUCGGGGAAAAUAAAGUUAUCUCGGAUUUCUUAGUGUUUUAUAACCGAUUAAUUUUUUUGGUUGAAGAACAUCUUUACAUUCUGCCAAUUAAUAUACAUCAAUUUAUAGUAAAAACAACAUAUUCAGGACAAACAAAAAACUUUAUUAAAAAUUUGAGCAAAGCAAAUAAUAACUAGAAAAAUCCUCCAAUAAAAUUUACAUAACUGGACAUUAAUUUAACACGAAAUCACUACAUUAACAGCAAAGAGACAAACUUCAAACUUAAAGUCCUCUACAAUUAAUAUGAUAAAAAUGACGGUAAUAAUAGUGAAAUGGCAGUGGCAAUUAGUGAUGGUGCUGCCAAUUCUAAUAUGAAUGGCAACAGAGCUAAAAGAAAAAAGCAGCAAUGCAAGUAAUCUGAAGUAACCGGUGAAAAAGAGGAAGAAGAAGGGUGUGUAGCGACGACAACAUCGAUGAACUAGUGGUGCGGUGGAGGAAGGGAUGACAAAGAAGAUGAAGAACAUGAAGAAGAAAUAAUAUGUUUUCCCACAAAAAAUGCCUAAUCUAAUACCUUUUCACGCACUUAUACAGCGUGAAUCACAAACAAUGUGACACCUGGCAAAAAAUGUUAAAAUGGCUUAAAUUCGGAAGGGUACGUGUGUUCAAUAUGUACAAGUCUUAGUUGAGGUGUCUAAAUGAAUUAUGCAGAGGCUACAAAUGACUUAAGCCAAGAAAAUAUAAAAGUUAAGUAAGUUGGAAUGUAUUUUUUAAAUAAACAACUUAUUUUUAUAAAUUAGGCAAUGCAUAUUAUUUUGAAUACAACAAUUUAAAUAAUUACUAAAAAAUAAUCCAGCAUAACUUAUUAUUUAUUAUUGAGGAACUUUCACAUAUAGCCACUCAAAAAUAGCCUAAUUACUCUCCAUAGCUAUAAUUUGAUAAUUACAAUUCGUUGCUACAUGUCAUAGGGAGGAGAGAGGCGAGUGAGACUGGGAGAGAGAGGAGAGAGACGAGUGAGACUGGGAGAGAGAGGAGAGAGACGAGUGAGACUGGGAGAGAGAGGAGAGAGACGAGUGAGACUGGGAGAGAGAGGAGAGAGACGAGUGAGACUGGGAGAGAGAGGAGAGAGACGAGUGAGACUGGGAGAGAGAGGAGAGAGACGAGUGAGACUGGGAGAGAGAGGAGAGAGACGAGUGAGACUGGGAGAGAGAGGAGAGAGACGAGUGAGACUGGGAGAGAGAGGAGAGAGACGAGUGAGACUGGGAGAGAGAGGAGAGAGGCUAGCUAGAGAGGGCAAAGAGUGGGAGAGAGGUGAAUUGUAUAUGUAUAUCGGUUAGAGAAUUAUAUAUUAUACAUAUGUAUUUGUAUAUAUGGCAAGCGAGAUUGGGAGAGGGGGAGAGAGGCGAGCGAGAUUGGGAGAGGGGGAGAGAGGCGAGCGAGAUUGGGAGAGGGAGGAGAGAGGUGAGCGAGAGAGUGGGAGAGAGAUGAAUUGUAUAUGUAUAUCGGUUAGAUAAUUGUAUAUUAUACAUGUGUAUUUGUAUAUUCUGGCAAAUUAUACAUCUACAAACGUAGCUAAUUAUACAAAUUCCAAGUCAGCCCACAUAAUUAAUGUAUAAUGUUAGUCGCAAGUGGUAAUUAUAGCAAACUAUAGUUAUGAUAAGUAAUUAAGUGAUAUAAGUUGGCUUAACCACAUAAUUUUCUCUUUAAAUAUAACAUGUAACUACGAAUUGUAAUAAUCAAACUAUAACUAUAAAGAGUAAAUACACUAUUUUAAAUGACUAUAUGUGAAAGUUCUUCUUUUAAUAAAUAUACGUCAAGUUAAAAUAUUGUGAAUUUAAUUUUGAAAGUAAAGUUGGAGUGGGAAAAGGAUUGUCAAAAACUUUAUAAAUAUGGUAAUUACGUAUAAGAAACCAAAAGUUUAGUUUUGGGGUUUUGUCAAUUCGUGGUCAUGUCUCCACCGCCAUCGCUGCUGCCAUCUCCACCUCCACAGCUGCUGCUCCUGCAAGAUGAGAGCAGAAACGAAUCGGAUUUGGAAAAUGUAGAUGAAUCGGAUGAAGAUGUAGAAGAAUCGGGAGAAGAAUGGGUGGAUGAGGAAGAUAGUGACUCUGUAUGUUCUGAGCCACUAUCUCCUCGGUCGGAUGACAGCUAUGACAACCCGAGUAUAGAAGAAUUAAUUGAAGAAUUGUAUACCCCUAUCCUUCCUGGUGAGGAAAAAAAGGAUAGAGAGUUUUGGAAGAGGUACUUCCAACAGGUCCGUGAGAGUGAGGUAUCAUCUUUUAUCUCCAUCGCUAACUUCUGUUUGUUGCUAUUCCCUGUUUUUCACUGAUUGUUCACUUUCCUCCUUAUCUUCAACCUUCCAUUACACUAGAUUCUCAAUUCACAAAUAUGUACAAAAAUAAUAUAUGCAAAUAUUGGACUAUUACAUUCUUCACAAGUUAAGUUCAAGCGGUAGAAACAGUAGAUUCUUUGUGGUCUGGUCUUUCUCCAAAUUACCUCCUGCAUAUAUUCUUAUUUCUAACAUGACAUUUCAUGCUUCAAUAUCCGGUCUCACCUCUCCAUUAGGUAAAAUAGUAUCUUAUUCAACUGGCUAACUCUAUAAUUUGUUAUGUCUUAGCUGGAUUUUCAAUGAAACUUGGCUGCUGGCAAGACUAUGAUAGUUAAAGGAACUCAAAAGGGGUUUAGGAAAGAUAGUGAGGAAAGACAUUAAUGGAUAUAUAGAAAAACAUUAAUUGAUACCCUACCUAACUUAAGGACUUCAAGAAAAGAGUUUAUAAUAUGCCUGCUCAUGUUUUCUAGCAUAACUUCGUCGUGCUUUUUUGGAAGUUGUCAUAUGGAUGCCAAAAGCGUGACGUUUAAAUGCUCAACUUUUCUGCUUCAAUUGUUUUCGGCUUUCAACUGUUACCAUCUUUAGGCCCUAAUAGAAGAAAAAGGGGAGCUGGCCAAAAGUUUGAGAAAAAAUUGGAGCAUUCCGCACAUCAGAUUGUUUUUCCAGCUUUAUAUUUAUAUAUACAUGUGGCUUUCUUUUCUCUUUUUAUUGUAUAAUUUUGGUCUAAUAUAUAUAUGUGACUUGUACUUUGAUGGGGAUUUGACAUUAGAGAUUAUCCUGGUUUCUGUCGAUUGGCUACCGUACACCCCAACUUUUUAAAAGGUCCUGCUAAUUUUGAAAUGUUGAAGGGCUAUGCUGGAGAGGCACUUGGGCAGUACAAUGAGAAAAAUGUAUGCUCUAGUCACACUUCCCAUUGUCUUUCUAGUUGUUCUUUUUCCUUGUUUUCUCUAGAAAGCUGAGAAAGUUUCUGUGGAUUCAUUUUAGGACACUAAAUAUGAGGUCAAGGAUAUUCUCAAGGUUAAUGGAUCUGGCUGUAAAGACAUCAAUUUCUUUAUUACCUUUACGGUUACAAAUGGCGAGAAGGAAUAUUUUCAAGCUAAGGUGGUGCGGCAUCUAGAUCAAUCUUUGGAUUUCCCGAUCGUUAGGCCAAGGGUAAUGAGAUCGGCUAUGCAUUCCUUUUUACUUUUCUUCAAGUUUCAUAACUUUAAAGAAUUAAUGACUAAAUUUCAGCAUCUGCAAGUUAUUAACUCUCUUGUGCUUUUAUGUAGGUGAAGGAAGGUCGGGACAUAGAGUAAUAUGUGAGGUGUGUGCAUCAUUUUGGCUGGGGUCAAGCUUUAGCUUUGCUGUUGUCAAUGUUGUUAGUAAUUGAAAGUGGAUUAUCUUAAGUCUAUAGUGUAAAUGUAAAAGGGAGGAAAAGCAACUGUUAGAAUUUAUGGAAUAUUGUUGGUUUAAGCUUAAGACAAUAUAAUUGUGAUGUUUUAUUAUUCUAUAUCUUAUUGUUUUGGUUGAAGCUCAAGGAAAUAGUAUUUGUAUUCCUUGUAUUGGUCGUCUCUUUUUUAUAUUAUUACAGAGUAGAGAUAUGUUGUCUGGACUUGCCACUAAAGUUGGAUCCUCCAGAAUUGGUUCUGUUCUUGAGAUCCUAUCAGAUGCUUUGGAGAGUCUGAACAACAUAGAAGUAGAGUAGCAUGAAUAAGUUAUUUGAUGGUUGUAUUUGUUAUCUAGUCUGAAAUAUAUACUUCAUCUAUUCCCAGAAAUAUAAGGUCUUUGUGGAAGAAUGAAUUUAACCAAGUUAGACUGUGGCAAAUUCUUUCACUACUUGGUAAGAAUUAUAGAAGGUGAGUUGUUUGGUCGGGUGUAUAAGAAUAGUAAGGGCUUGUUUGGAAAGCCACCCUGGUAAUUGGAUUUUGCUUUGGCGUAAUUACAUUGUAUUCUCCAAUUCACACGAAGAGGAUAUGUGCGCAGUGUGAAUUUCAAAUGGAAGCUCAAACAGACAGUAGCAGUUAAGAAGAAGCAAUUUUCUUGUAUCCAAAGGUAAAAUGGCGAAACCCAAAGCCCUUUUCCAUUCAAUUUACUACUCAUACAUUUUUCUUUAUUGAUUGAAAUGUGAUAACAAUUCGAUUGAUUUGUCAUUUGUUGUGUGUUUUCUUGUUCGGAUCGGAUAGAUAUUUCACAAAUCACCAUACUAAUGUGAAAUUUUUGGGGGUUUUCUCUCAAUGUGAAUACAAUAAUUGCUGAUUUUGAGAUUUCGUUAUAUUUGUAAGCUAGGUUAGGUUGGAUCAUAGAUUGGGAUAGAAGAAAGACCAAGAUGUUAAUAUUCCCAUUUUGAUUAAUCCAGAUAAUUUGAUUUUUCUUCUUCUGUGAUUAUUUUAUUUUUUUCGAGUGUUGCUAUGCUUCUUGAGGUUGUAAUGGCAUUAGUUGAAGGAAACAUGAAAACAGUUGGCUUAAGAAAAUUUGGUUUGAUUGGAAAAGUUUCAUUCUUUUGUUAAGAUUCAAUGCAGGCUAGUAGCACAGUAGCAAAAUCACAUUGUUAUAGUUAUUUGGGGAAUACAGAGUAUUAGUAAGAUUACUAUAUAUCAGAAAUUCUCGAAAAUAGCAUCUAUUUAUUUGCGAGGUAGGGGUAAGGUCUAUGUCCACUCUAGCCGAUCUAGACACCACUUGUGGGAUUAUACUGGGUAUGUUGUUGUUGUUGUACUAUCAGAAAUUCAUGGAAAGGUGAGUUCUGAUAGUCAAGUUUUUAUGUUGGAACUGUUUUUUUCCCUUUCUGUUAAUGAAUAAAUGUUGACAUUAUGGUAUAAUUCUCCCGCGAGUUGACAAAUUGUUUGUCAAUAUGAUAUUUCAUUUAGUAUGUCGUUGUUCGACUGAUGUGGUAGUCUGAGGGAUGAUAAUUUGAUUAAGUUUCGAGCUGAUAGCUGUUUACAGUGAGAUGGUUAAUUUGCUUCACUUGCAUUUGGAUGAUUUUCUGUGGCAUCAUGGAACCCUGAUAGUUGUUUUUUUCUGAAGGUGUUGGUGAAUUGCUUGUAUUUUGGGGAAAUUUACUUUCUACAUCUCAUGGAAGCUGUAUUUGAAGAGGAGUAUGCUGCCUUUGAGAAUAAAGUGAAACGUAGCGUCUAUAUUGACAAUCUUUCACCUUUGGUUAAGGAGUCUGUUAUCAAAGCUGCACUUGAUCAGUUCGGAAAUGUCAUUCAGGUCAAGUUAAUCCGAACCUACCUUGAACUAAAAGGGAUGGGAUGAGCUGCUUUAGUUGAGAUGCAGAAUGCAGAUGAGGCAAGAACAAUCAUCUCUGAGAUACGAAAUUCCCCUUUCAUGAUCUCGGGCAUGCCAAGACCUGUUAGGGCACGUCCUGCUGUAGUUGAGAUGCUUGAUGAUCGCCCAAGGAAACCUGAUAGGACGAUAAUGUGCUACUGGUUGAAAUCCAAUGAACCUGAUUUUGAAGUGGCCACAAAGAUGAAGCGUACAGUUAGGAAACAUGCAAAAGAAGCCAAUUUCUUGCUCAAGGUGAAUAUUUGCUCAUAAAAUUGAUUUCAUGGUUAUAAUACAUUGUUGUCCUAAAUGGUUCCUUCUCUUCACGUAGCGUCAAUUGGAGGAGGAAGAACAACUAGCUAAAGAGCAGUGAGAGUCCUUGAACGCAAUCUACAAUAAGUAUGAACUCGUUCAACAUGUCUUUAACAGUGGAACUGCUACGCGAUUGGCAAAGCGUUAUAAAAUGCGUACUGAUGUUCGCCAGUAAUCAACAUUCUCAUCCAUAAACUUGUAGAGAUAUAAAGGUUCAACUGUUAAACCAAAUGACAUUUUUUGCCUUUUGUAAAGUACUUCAUUUCCAGGCAGUAGAAGAGGCAUUUUAUGUGCUAUCAUUCAUGUGCUCUUGAAUUGUAAUUAUUAGCCUAAAAUGUUCUACUUUACAAGAUGUCUUGUGACCCUGCAGUCAAUUAACCUUUACUUUUUUGAGCUAGUAUAGUUUUUGCUAUUAUUGUAUUGGCAUAAUACAUAAAA
rnacentral:lncRNA from 1 species